GUUCAUGGCCAUACCACCCUGAAUGCGCCUGAUCUCCUCCGAUCUCACAAGCUAAGCAGGGUUGGUCCUGGUUAGUACUGGGAUGGGAGACUGCUUUGGAAUACUCAGGGUGAUGGCUU
rnacentral:rRNA from 1 species